AACGAACGCUGGCGGCGUGCCUAACACAUGCAAGUCGAACGAGAAAGGGGCUUCGGCUCCGAGUAAAGUGGCGCACGGGUGAGUAACACGUAGGUAACCUGCCUCUAAGAUUGGGAUAACCUGUCGAAAGGCGAGCUAAUACCGAAUAAGACCACAGCUUCCUCAGAAGCAGGGGUCAAAGGUAGCCUCUACUUGUAAGCUAUCACUUAGAGAUGGGCCUGCGUACCAUUAGCAGUUGGUGGGGUAACGGCCUACCAAGGCGAAGAUGGUUAGCUGGUCUGAGAGGAUGAUCAGCCACACUGGAACUGAGACACGGUCCAGACUCCUACGGGAGCAGCAGUGGGGAAUAUUGCGCAAGUGGGACGAAAGCCUGACGCAGCAACGCCGCGUGAGUGAUGAAGGC
rnacentral:rRNA from 1 species